ACCCAUCCUUCAAGCAGAUUCAACAGCGGCGCAAUUCCCCCAAUUCAUCUCAAAUCCUUCGUCAGUUUUGAUUUCGAUUCCUCUCAGACCCAUCAUGAACUUUGACUCUUCUUAAACCCUAAUUUCGUAUUCUCCCAAUUUCUUGAUGAAACCAUUUAGCUAGCAAUUCAACUCAACAUUUUGGUGCUACAAUCGCAAUUCAACUCAACAUUUCGAUGCUACAAUCUCAAUUCAUCUCAGCAUCGCAACUCAACGUCUCGUAUUCUCAUAAUUGUUGUCUCUUCUGCUGGAUAUUCCCUCUUUAGCUUUUCAAGAUUUCUCUUCGGCGAAUGUCCAUCUAUUUUUCGCGUUUUCUACUUCAAAGGUGGAAUCAAGGUUUUCGGUUGUGGCUUCAGGUGUAAAUCAUCAAGUUUCAUCAAGAGAGCUUUAACAUACAUCAUUGGUAGACUUCUUACUCGAGAUCAUUGAUCCACAGUGGUUUCUCCAACUAAAUUGUUGGAUUCACACUCUAUUUGCUAGCUGGCUCUGAGUGAGAAAGGCUAUGAACUUGUUUCCGGUGGGACUGAAAAUCAUCUAGUUUUGGUGAAUAUGAAGAAAAAGGUAACCCGAUAACUACUUUGACUUUGCUUGAGAAGAUGAAGUCGGUGUACACGAAUGUAGAAGAUCUUCCUCCGGAUUGAAUUGUGGAAAACAAUUGCUUCUCCAGGGCGUGGUAUUUUGGCCAUGGAUGAAUCCAAUGGUACAUGUGGAAAGCGGUUGGAUUCAAUUGGACUAGAGAACAACCGAAGCUAACCGUCAAGCAUGGCGUAAAAUUAUAUAUGAAGAAGGUGUUAUGACUUGGUUAAAAUAUAAUUUUUAUG